rnacentral:rRNA from 1 species
UCACCACUCCUUGCCAUUACCGUCUAUAUACCGCCGUCGUCAGCUCACCCUGUGAAGGACUAAAAGUAAGCAAAAAGAAUUAAACUCCAAAACGUCAGGUCGAGGUGUAGCAAAUGAAGUGGGAAGAAAUGGGCUACAUUUUUUUUUAAAAACAAACGAAUGAUAAACUGAAAAAUUACCUAAAGGUGGAUUUAGCAGUAAGAGGAGGUCAGAGUACUCCUCUGAAAUCGGCUCUGGGAUAAGCACACACCGCCCGUCACUCUCCUCAAAAUAACUUACCUUUUCCAUAAAUAUAUUUCCUCAACAAGAGGAGGCAAGUCGUAACAUGGUAAGUGUACUGGAAAGUGCACUUGGAA